GGAAAAACAUUGUGGAAUAUGCUUACGUAAGGUAAUAGAUAGCUGCAAACUUCAGCGGAGCACCUAAUCAAUAAGGUAAAGUUUGGCGGCGAAAGUACAAUUAACGGCUUGAGGCGGCGUGUGAUGUUCAGUACUUCAACUGGAAAGCUCAACUAAUCCUAGAGGCCCUUAACAAUUCAAAUCUCUGAAGCGGAAGGGGUGAAAAAACCCAAAAAAAUUGUGGGAUACAAACACAUUAAAAAGGAUUGCAAAAUAAAAUCAUUGUAGAGUAUGCUUGCCUGAGGUAAUGGGUAGUUA
rnacentral:misc_RNA from 1 species